rnacentral:rRNA from 1 species
GACGCUGCGCAGCUACACAUGCAGUCGAACGGUAGCACAGAGAGCUUGCUCUCGGGUGACGAGUGGCGGACGGGUGAGUAAUGUCUGGGAAACUGCCUGAUGGAGGGGGAUUACUACUGGGAACGGUAGCUAAUACCGCAUAACGUCGCAAGACCAAAGAGGGGGACCUUCGGGCCUCUUGCCAUCAGAUGUGCCCAGAUGGGAUUAGCUAGUAGGUGGGGUAACGGCUCACCUAGGCGACCAUCCCUAGCUGGUCUGAGAGGAUGACCAGCCACACUGGAACUGAGACACGGUCCACACACCUACGGGAGGCAGCAGUGGGGAAUAUUGCACAAUGGGCGCAAGCCUGAUGCAGCCAUGCCGCGUGUAUGAAGAAGGCCUUCGGGUUGUAAAGUACUUUCAGCGGGGAGGAAGGUGUUGAGGUUAAUAA